rnacentral:tRNA from 1 species
GGGGAUUUAGCUCAGUGGUAGAGCGCUUGCCUUGCAAGUGCAAAGGCCCUGGGUUCGGUCCCCAGCUCCG